AGUUUGAUCCUGGCUCAGGACGAACGCUGGCGGCGUGCCUAACACAUGCAAGUCGACGAGGGUCUGGGCCUUCGGGCUCAGAUCGAGUGGCGAACGGGUGAGUAACACGUGAGGAACCUGCCCCGGAGACCGGGACAACCAGAGGAAACUUUGGCUAAUACCGGAUGUCCUCGGAUGGUCGCAUGGCCGACCGAGAAAAGGCUCCGGCGCUCUGGGAGGGCCUCGCGGCCUAUCAGCUUGUUGGUGGGGUAACGGCCCACCAAGGCAUUGACGGGUAGCUGGUCUGAGAGGACGAUCAGCCACACUGGGACUGAGACACGGCCCAGACUCCUACGGGAGGCAGCAGUGGGGAAUAUUGCGCAAUGGGCGCAAGCCUGACGCAGCAACGCCGCGUGGGGGAUGACGGCUUUCGGGUUGUAAACCCCUUUCAGCAGGGACGAAAAUGACGGUACCUGCAGAAGAAGCCCCGGCCAACUACGUGCCAGCAGCCGCGGUAACACGUAGGGGGCGAGCGUUGUCCGGAUUUAUUGGGCGUAAAGAGCUCGUAGGCGGUUGCGUAAGUCGGAUGUUAAAACUCAGGGCUCAACCCUGAGACGCCAUCUGAUACUGCGCUGACUAGAGUCCGGUAGAGGAGCAUGGAAUUCCUGGUGUAGCGGUGAAAUGCGCAGAUAUCAGGAGGAACACCAGUGGCGAAGGCGGUGCUCUGGGCCGGUACUGACGCUGAGGAGCGAAAGCGUGGGUAGCAAACAGGAUUAGAUACCCUGGUAG
rnacentral:rRNA from 1 species